GUGGGGAAUUUUGGACAAUGGGCGCAAGCCUGAUCCAGCAAUGCCGCGUGCAGGAAGAAGGCCUUCGGGUUGUAAACUGCUUUUGUACGGAACGAAACGGUCCGGGUUAAUACCCUGGGCUAAUGACGGUACCGUAAGAAUAAGCACCGGCUAACUACGUGCCAGCAGCCGCGGUAAUACGUAGGGUGCAAGCGUUAAUCGGAAUUACUGGGCGUAAAGCGUGCGCAGGCGGGUUUGUAAGACAGGCGUGAAAUCCCCGGGCUCAACCUGGGAAGUUCGCGUGUGACUGCAAGGCUGGAGUGCGGCAGAGGGUGAUGGAAUUCCGCGUGUAGCAGUGAAAUGCGUAGAUAUGCGGAGGAACACCGAUGGCGAAGGCAAUCCCCUGGGCCUGCACUGACGCUCAUGCACGAAAGCGUGGGGAGCAAACAGGAUUAGAAACCCCAGUAGUCC
rnacentral:rRNA from 1 species